AAUUUUAAGUACUUUAUAGGUGCUACAAUCACCAUGAACUUAUGAUUUCAAACUGGCUAUAUCCCUUGUCUAUUCUUGAUGACAGGAAGAGAAAUUGUUGUAAUAUUAUAUGACAUCAAAUAAGAUGAAUGACACUUAUUCCUUUCCAAUUUUAUACAUGAGACUCCACUACUGCACCUUUUACUUAAGAAGUUAAGAAUUGUAGAAUGUAGUUUGUUUUUUUUUAUGAUUGCUAGCCUUUAAAUAUUGAAGUGGCUUUUUGUGUAACAGAAUUACUUUCAUACCCAGAAACUAAGAAUUGCAUCUAACUUUGUGUUUAUGGUGCUCUGUUUGAAUUAUCAUUUUAUACUUUUAGAUGCUGUAUCUGACAAUAUUGUUACUGAGACCAAGGACUUCUGAUGUAAGGUUGAACUUGGUUACCGAUGAUUUUCCAACAAUAGAAAGUUUGGUAAGAAAUUGGUAGAUUUGGUAUUAUUUUUACUAAUUUAGGACCAUGAAAUUAGGUACUUGUUCGUUGCUAAUGCAGCCUUACUGGGUUCAAACUCACACUAGGCUGAAGAUUUCCAUUGAUCAUAGUGGAAAAUUAUUGUAGCCGAUAAUUCUCGAGGGGAACUGAUAUUUUAAUUGCUGUUUACUCAUGCACGAUGCAUCAUUGGCUGCAGAUUUCUUUCUAAGAUUGAUUCUUGGUCCACUCCUGAGAUAAGUCCUCUUCAGUGAGGCUGUGUACCGCAUUAAGUUCUGUUCAAAGGACAUAAAAGCCAUAAUUUAUUGUGAGUGCCAAGUGUUGUCACGAGUCACACUACUCAAAAAAGCCUGGCAGCGCUAUUGGCUUAAACAAAGUGGGACUUAAGUCUUUAAUAGACUAUUGCGUGCUGGUUUGAAAGUCCAUGAAAGUUUCUUGUCCCCAUUUUUGGGAAAAUAUAUACCAAGUGCCGAUUGCUUAGUGAUAAUUGUUUUCUUUUUAUUUCCUUAUAGAGGUGUAAGCCUAGAAAGCAUAACCAGUUAACUUCAAGUUGCCAUUUCAUUUGAAAAGUUGCUUGUCCUGUAUUAGUUCAGAGCUGGCAAGUUUGCAACACUUGCAUAAUAUAUAGUGUAGAUAACUUUAUUAAUUUUUUUUAUAUUAAGAAUAUUAUCAGGUUCAAAGCAGUCUAUCAUUCACUUCAAGUCUGGAUGUUGAAAUAAAGUAGAAGAAUUGAGAGAUUACAUUUCACGUCGGUACUCUCUGGGUUGAGCUUGAAACCCAUCAAAGAUUAAAGUUGCCAUGAGAGUUUACACUGCUUGGUAAGAUGGAAGGAAAAUUAA